rnacentral:rRNA from 1 species
UGGGGAAUAUUGGACAAUGGACCAAGAGUCUGAUCUAGCAAUUCUGUGUGCACGAUGACGUUUUUCGGAAUGUAAAGUGCUUUCAGUUGGGAAGAAAAAAAUGACGGUACCAACAGAAGAAGUGACGGCUAAAUACGUGCCAGCAGCCGCGGUAAUACGUAUGUCACAAGCGUUAUCCGGAUUUAUUGGGCGUAAAGCGCGUCUAGGUGGUUAUGUAAGUCUGAUGUGAAAAUGCAGGGCUCAACUCUGUAUUGCGUUGGAAACUGUGUAACUAGAGUACUGGAGAGGUAAGCGGAACUACAAGUGUAGAGGUGAAAUUCGUAGAUAUUUGUAGGAAUGCCGAUGGGGAAGCCAGCUUACUGGACAGAUACUGACGCUGAAGCGCGAAAGCGUGGGUAGCAAACAGGAUUAGAUACCCUGGUAGUCCACGCCGUAAACGAUGAUUACUAGGUGUUGGGGGUCGAACCUCAGCGCCCAAGCAAACGCGAUAAGUAAUCCGCCUGGGGAGUACGUACGCAAGUAUG